CCUACGGGAGGCAGCAGUGAGGAAUAUUGGUCAAUGGGUGGGAGCCUGAACCAGCCAAGCCGCGUGAGGGAAGAAGGUACAGCGUAUCGUACACCUCUUUUGUCAGGGAACAAAGGCGGGGACUAGUCCCCGGAUGAGUGUACCUGACGAAAAAGCAUCGGCUAACUCCGUGCCAGCAGCCGCGGUAAUACGGAGGAUGCGAGCGUUAUCCGGAUUUGUUGGGUUUAGCGGGUGCGUCGGCGGCCUGUUAAGUCAGCGGGAAAAGCCCGGGGCCCAACCCCGGCGAGCCGUUGAAACUGGCGGGCUGGAGUUGGAGAGAGGUACGCGGAAUUCGCGGUGUAGCGGUGAAAUGCUUAGAUAUCGCGCAGAACCCCGAUUGCGAAGGCAGCGUACUGGCACCACACUGACGCUGAGGCACGAAAGCGUGGGUAUCGAACAGGAUUAGAUACCCGAGUAGUC
rnacentral:rRNA from 1 species